CUUCCAAUUUAUGAUGGUUCAACCUGGGAUCUUAUUUUUCUUAUUUUUCAAUAUUUACAUUCACUAGAAGUCAUACUUUGGAUUGUAAGUUCUUGUUGCUUUUUCCAGAAUAUUGGUAUGAAAUAGACUGAUAUUGGUAUGAAAUAGACUAGUAUCUCAAGCUGCUAAGCAGUGACAAAAAGGCACAGGUCUCAGAGUUGUGUGCUCACAAGGAAAAAUAACUGAUGCUUUGCAGUAUACCGUACUCAACUCUAAUGUUUGGUAGAUGUCCUAUACUACAUCCAUUUCACAAUCUGAACGUUACAUUAUAACCACAUCAUAAGUCAAGGAACAUCUUUAUAGUCUUAAAUUAUUUUGUUUUAUUUUGAUCCCAGGAGAUUUUGCGUACUAGACAAGUGCUCUGAUGGGUCCACAUCUCCAGACUCUCAUUGGCUUUUUUUUCUCCUUGUUAUUGUUGUUUUUGAGACAAGCUCGUACUGUCUAGUCUGUGUUCACACUCAUGAUCCCAAGUGCUAUGAUUCCAGUCAUACAUCUCCACACCCUUGCCUAAUAAUUUUGUUUCUAGCCAGCAACUGAACCAAUGCUCGGACAGUUGGUGUGACUGGCCCUUUUCCAAUGUUGGGGUCUAAUCCUUGAUUCAAGAGUGCUAAACUGGGGAAAUCCUACACAGGGGUCUCCAUGAGAAUAUUCUUUGCCUACUUGAAGCUCUCUGUAAUGUUCUUCUGCUACAGAAAGAAACGUAUUUGAUAAGGGAUGGGGGAUCACCUUUCAGCACAAGAACUAUUGGGGAGCAUUCUGUGCCUACCCCAGCUGCAAUAAGAGGCAAGACAGAAAAUUAGUUCCUGCUGGGGAGCAGAGGUGUGUUCCCAUCACCCUCAUCAUCACCGUGGUGCUGGUCUCCAUCAUCGUUGCUUCAGGCACGUUUAUGAGAUGCUCACACCGUUCCAUGAUGACGGAAUCAUCCAGAGUGACAUGACCUUAACUCAUCACAAACGUUGACUCUGUUCCCUCUUACACAAAGAACAGCACACCCGUGGCUUAUGACAUCAGAGCUACAAGCUUUAAGAACUUACACAAAGAACAGCACACCCGUGGCUUAUGACAUCAGAGCUACAAGCUUUAAGAACUUACACAAAGAACAGCACACCCGUGGCUUAUGACAUCAGAGCUACAAGCUACCGCUUUAAGAACUUACAUUCCAAACGAAUUAACUACGUAGAGAAAAUGCUGACAACAUGCAAAGGGUUUUUGUUUUUUCUUUUUCUUUUCUUCCUUUUUUUUUUUUUAAAUAAAAGUAAAUAGACCAGCGUAGCAUUUUUCAUUCCUUACUUGUCAUAAGCAUCUGUUGGGGGAGAAGAAGUGGGUAAACCUCGGGUAACUUGUUGAAAUAAGAAAACCAUCACCACUCCUUAAUAGUUGUUAACUCCUCAGAUACAAUUCUGCAACUGGAUUGACUGAUCAUAUUUGACAUAAGUAGCUAAAUUGUUACAAAAAAGUUAAUAAUGCCUGGGAUAUAGAUUAGUGGUGGAGGACCAGCCUAACAGUCCCCAGCAUUAUAAUAAUAAUAAUAACAAUGGCAAUAAUAAGGUAUGGAUCAGGCCUGCUCAUUUUUAAAGAUUGUUUGUUUACAUGAUUAUGAAACAAUAGGUCUGGAUCAAUGCCUUUUUCACUGCUUGCAAUUAAUACGUCCUUAGCAAGAUUAUAAAUAGCAAAAUUAAAUCAGAUUUCUUAUUUGAAAGUCAGUCUAUUUUGGUAUAACAACUCUACUAGAUGUAAUUACAUAUUACAAUUUUUUUCUAAUGUGCCCUUACCCCCAGCUACGUGCUGUACCAUAAAUAGAAUGGGGAAAUGUGAUUUCCUGGCAAAUAGAAUUAAAGCAGGAAAAGCUAUAAAGUAUGGAGCAUUUGUCCUGUCA
rnacentral:lncRNA from 1 species